UACAGAGGUCCCAAGCGUGGUUCGGAUUCAUUGGGCGUAAAGGGUGCGUAGGCGGCGCGGUAAGUCGGGUGUGAAAUCUCGGAGCUUAACUCCGAAACUGCAUUCGAUACUGGCGUGCUUGAGGACUGGAGAGGAGACUGGAAUUCAUGGUGUAGCAGUGAAAUGCGUAGAGAUCAUGAGGAAGACCAGUGGCGAAGGCGGGUCUCUGGACAGUUCCUGACACUGAGACACGAAGGCCAGGGGAGCAAACGGG
rnacentral:rRNA from 1 species